rnacentral:rRNA from 1 species
UACGGGGGGGGCAAGCGUUGUUCGGAAUUACUGGGCGUAAAGGGCUCGUAGGCGGCCAACUAAGUCGGACGUGAAAUCCCCAGGCUCAACCUGGGAACUGCGUCCGAUACUGGAUGGCUUGAAUCCGGGAGAGGGAUGCGGAAUUCCAGGUGUAGCGGUGAAAUGCGCAGAUAUCAGGAGGAACACCAAUGGCGAAGGCAGCUCGCUGGGACGUGACUGACGCUGAGACGCGAAAGCGUGGGGAGCAAACAGG